rnacentral:rRNA from 1 species
CAGCCGCCGCGGGAAUACGUAGGGUGCAAGCGUUAAUCGGAAUUACUGGGCGUAAAGCGUGCGCAGGCGGUUUUGUAAGACAGAGGUGAAAUCCCCGGGCUCAACCUGGGAACUGCCUUUGUGACUGCAAGGCUAGAGUACGGCAGAGGGGGAUGGAAUUCCGCGUGUAGCAGUGAAAUGCGUAGAUAUGCGGAGGAACACCGAUGGCGAAGGCAAUCCCCUGGGCCUGUACUGACGCUCAUGCACGAAAGCGUGGGGAGCAAACAGGAUUAGAGACCCCUGUAGUCCCUGUCUCUUAUAC